rnacentral:lncRNA from 1 species
UCAAAAUCUGAGAGCUCAGGGAGGCCGUGGAAAUUUGGGGAAGAAGAAACAGACUCCCUGAGCAGAGCUCAGGGCAGCAGCUCCAGGCAUGCCUGCUGAGCCCAUCAGGCCACCGCCACCUGCAGGAAGAGCCUCUGGCCUGAACUGCUGGGGAUGGGCUGCAGAAAGCCUGAGACAUUUGGGCCAGCACCUUCCCAGGGGCACAGGCCCCCAAGGCGGGGACACCACCUCUGCUCUGCCAGGCCUGCCUCCAGGGCUCUGAGGAGAAGCUGACUUCACGGCCGCGGUGCCAGUGAGGGCUGCAUAGCCAGGCCUUGUCUGUAGUCUGGGCGGCCCGUGGCGCUGCCCUUCAGCCCAACUACUCAUUGCCGCUGCGUCUUUGGCGAGGCUUUCAUUUCCAACCUUUCUUCCCAUCUCAGCCCUUUUGUUGGCCCGGGUCCCAGGAGGCUGGUGUCGGUGAGGGCAGGCCCGCUCCUCUCAUCGGGGUGGCUGUGGCCUGUCCCCCAGUCCCUCAAUGGCCACUUUCUAUAAACAAGGCAGCACUAAUUUUUGCUAUAAGAUAAAAGAGGCCAGGCACGUUGGCUCACACCUGUCAUCCCAGCACUUUGGGAGGCUGAGGCGGGUGGAUCACCUGAGAUUGGGAGUUCGAGACCAGCCUGGCCAACAUGGUGAAAACCCCGUCUCUACUAAAAAUACAAAAAUUAGCUGGGCGUGGUGGCAGGUGCCUGUAACCCUAGCUACUCAGGAGGCUGAGGCACGAGAAAUGCUUGAAGCCAGAAGGCAGAGAUUGCAGUGAGCCAAGAUCACAACACCGCGCUCCAGUCUGCGCGACAGAGCGAGACUCUGUCUCAAAAAAAAAAAAAAAAAAGUGCAGGUGCACGCUGGUGGGGACAUUAGGAGCCUGUCAAGAGUGGGUCUGCCUGCUGGCACUUACUAGACGGGAAAUACCCCCUAAAGAGGGCUUAAAAAGCAUCUUCUCCCUAGCACGGGGCAUGCUGGCACAGGGUGCUGUGUGACAGAGGCUUGGCCGCUGGGCCCCGCUGCUGAGAAGGCUGCUCUGCCCAUGCCUGGCCCUGUGGGCAGUGCCAGCCAUGGAUCCCUGAGACCCUGGGCUGGAACCUGGGGCCCCGUCCCAGCCCUACCUGCAGCUCACUAACCCUCUCUGGGUUCUGCUCAGUGUCUGAAGUGAUGGAAAGACCCCAGGGUUGGUGGCUGUAGCGGCCCCCAGGGGUGGCAGAACCCUUUGGGAGGCCAAGUGUUCUUUCCCAAAGCUGCGCGGGUGCCAUCGCCUGCCAGGCCCUGGCUGUGGUGACAGACGUGGGCUGGGGUGAGGCUGCAUCUGCUUCCUCUAACAGCCGUGGCUGCCUGCGGGCUCUGGCCUCCGCUCUGGCAGAUUCUGCACAUUCCCUGCAGGCGCAGGGGUGGGUGGGGGUGCCUGUGGCCUCGGAGGUACAGCCAGCUGUCCUCAGCUCAGAUGGCCCCCAAGAGCCCCCAGCUCCUGUUCACUGCUCUUCCAGUUAGUGACCCCCGUGUCAGCAUCAUUGUCAGAGUUCCUGGGCUUGUGGGGGCUGGAGAAGGGAAGGCGCUGAGGAGGGAAAGAUGAGUGCAGGUUUUGUUGAAACCACCCGACCCGCGUUUUCAGGGGGACGAGGCCACUGCCUUGGCCCAAGGACCUGCAGGCUUGGGGGACCCCCUCGAUGUCCACUGGGCUGCGGAUGAAACAUCACACUGUGGUAGGAAAGGAAGGGGAGCACCCCCAGACGGGGGGGUCCUGCAGAGACCCCAACCCCUUACCUACCUAGUUGAGACACCCAUGGGGAGCAGCCCCAACAGCAUGUCGGAGUCCCUAGGCUUGUGGGGUCAUGCUCUGUUGAGGGCCCUUCCUCUAACUGGCGAGCUUGUUUACAGCUGAGCUCGCCUGGUCAGAUGGGCCCAGUGGCUUUAUCUAAUAAAGGCUGGACAUGUCCACUUCAUGAGCA